rnacentral:rRNA from 1 species
AUGGCCUCAGAUUGAACGCUGGCGGCAGGCCUAACACAUGCAAGUCGAGCGGAUGAGAAGAGCUUGCUCUUCGAUUCAGCGGCGGACGGGUGAGUAAUGCCUAGGAAUCUGCCUGGUAGUGGGGGACAACGUUUCGAAAGGAACGCUAAUACCGCAUACGUCCUACGGGAGAAAGCAGGGGACCUUCGGGCCUUGCGCUAUCAGAUGAGCCUAGGUCGGAUUAGCUAGUUGGUGAGGUAAUGGCUCACCAAGGCGACGAUCCGUAACUGGUCUGAGAGGAUGAUCAGUCACACUGGAACUGAGACACGGUCCAGACUCCUACGGGAGGCAGCAGUGGGGAAUAUUGGACAAUGGGCGAAAGCCUGAUCCAGCCAUGCCGCGUGUGUGAAGAAGGUCUUCGGAUUGUAAAGCACUUUAAGUUGGGAGGAAGGGCAUUAACCUUAUACCCUGAGUGUU